UUAGCGCUAAGUUAUCAUGUGUGGCUGUGCUAACGUUGUAGGUUAGCAGAAUAAUCUUUUUAAACCAUCUUUUUUCAUGUUUUCUUUUCCUCCUCAGACUCUCAGAGGUCUGAAGAUGUCCGGGUUUAAAGAUCCAGCCUCUGCGGUUCUCAGAAACCCGGGACCAGCACCAAGAUCUGAAUACGGAGGGGAGCUCCAGCACCAACGAAACCUGCUGGAUGUGGUUUUAACACCUGAGAUGAAGCUGCACAGAGCAGUGCUUCCUGCAGGCGCUGAACAGCUGUCAGUGAUUAAAGAAGAGAGCCCCCAGAGGGACACUGGGCCACCACAUAUUAAAAAGGAACAGGAGGAACUGUGGAGCAGUCAGAAGGAAGAGCAGUUUCAAGGACUAGAAGAGGCUGACACCACCAUGUUUCCAUUCAAAAUUGUCAUUAUAAAGAAUGAAGAUGAUGUGGAGAAACCUCAGUGCUCACAGCUUCAUGAGAGACAAACUGAACAGAUGGAAGCAGGAGCUGACAGAGAGGACUGUGGAGGAGCAGAACCAGGCAGGACCUCAGAUCCAGAGACACAUUUACAACCAGAGAUAGAGGUCAAGAUUGAAGACUCUUCUGGAGCAGAGACUGAGGACAGUGAUGGAUGGAGAGAGACCAGAGAACAUCAGUUGGGCUCAAACUCUGUGGAAAAUAUUACAAAUGAGAGCUCAGGGAAUGAGAAAUCACACAGCUGCUCUGAGUGUGGUAAAACAUUCCAAACAAAACAGGGUCUUACACAACACAUGAGAACUCACAAAGGAGAGAAACCCUUUAGCUGCCCUGUGUGUUGUAAAGAAUUCACACAUAAAUGUUAUAUGAACUAUCACAUGAAAAGUCAUAAGAAUGACAAACCCUUCAUCUGCUCUGAUUGUGGUAAAACUUUCAAAAGGAAACAUCAUCUAAGUGAGCACAAACGAAUUCACACUGGAGGGAAACCCUUCAGCUGCUCUCAAUGUGAUAAAACAUUUAACUGGAAACAUCAUCUGAGAGACCAUAACAGAACUCAUACAGGAGAGAAACCUUUCAGCUGCCCUGAGUGUGAUAGAACGUUUAAGAGGAAAAGUCACCUGAGAGACCACAAAAAAACUCACACAGGAGAGAAACCCUUUAGCUGCACUGUUUGCAGUAAGAAGUUUUCACAGAGAUAUUAUAUGGACUCACAUAUGAGAACACACACAGGAGAAAAACCAUUCAGCUGCUCUGAUUGUGGCAAGACAUUCAAUAGGAAACAAUAUCUAAGAGACCACAAGCGAAUUCACACAGGAGAGAAACCCUUCGGCUGCUCUCAUUGUGGUAGAACAUUUAAGUGGAAACAUCAUCUGACAGACCAUGAGCGAAUUCACACAGGAGAGAAACCCUUUGGUUGCACUGAGUGUGGCAAAACAUUUAAAACAAAUCACACUUUGACUAAACACAUGAGAAUUCACACAGGAGUGAGACCCUUCAGUUGCUCUAUUUGCUCAAAAACAUUUACACAGAAAGGAAAUUUGGAUUCUCACUUGAGAGUUCACAGCGGUGACAGACCUUUCAGCUGCUCAGUGUGUGAAAAAACAUUCCAAUGCAAUAAUGAUUUGAACAGGCACAUGAGAAUUCACACUGGAGAGAGACCCUUCUGUUGCUCUUUGUGCAGCAAAAGGUUUAGGCAUCACUUUCUCCUGACCCUUCACAUGGCUCAUCAUAGAGGUGAGACACCCUACAGCUGCAGUGAUUGUAAUCAGACUUUUGCUUGGCGAUAUCAGGCAAAAAAUCACAAGUGUGAUGGAGGUCAGGGGUCAAAUACUCAUCAAGACCAGACUGAGGAGAAAAGAGAGGCAGAAACAGGAGCUGAUGGAGAGGACUGUGGACAACAUUUACAACCACUGACUGAGGAUAAGACCAAAGACUCUUCUGGAGCUGAUACUGAAGACAGUGAGGACGAUUAGGAGACCAAAGAAGAUUAUUCCUGCAUGCACCUCCUACUCCUGGCCUGUGGGGGCAGAGUUCAGCCUACCGGCGCGUCAUGAGGAGCAGAAGAAGAGGAGGAGGAGGAGAGGAGGAGGAAGAAGAGGAAGUGUUCACGGCCUCGCCGCUAAAGCUCAGUUAGCAUGUGUGGCUAUGCUAACGUUAUAGGUUAGUAGAUUAAUGUUACGGAAGCUGAAAGAGUUCAGUUUUCUUUCCUUCUCAGACUCUGAAGAUGUCCGGGUGUAAAGAUCCAGCCUCUGCGGUUCUCAGAGACCCGGGAGGACCAGCACCAAGAUCUGAACACGGAGAGGAGCUCCAGCACCAAAGAAAGCUGCUGGAUGUGGUUUUAACACCUGAGAUGAAGCUGCACAGAGCAGAUGACCACCAGCCAUUGGUGGGUAAAGAGGAGCAGCAGGAGAGGAGUCCAAGUCUGGACCAGGAAUACUCUGAGCCCCUAUGCAUUAAAGAGGAACAGGAGGAACUGUGGAGCAGUCAGGAAGGAGAGACGCUUCGAGGACUAGAGGCUGCUGACACCAACAUGUUUCCCUUCACUCUUGUCACUGUAAAGACUGAAGAUGAUGAAGAGAAACCUCAGUGCUCACAGCUUCACACACAGUUUGAACAGAUGGAAACAGGAGCUGAUGGAGAGGACUGUGGAGGAGCAGGAGCAGCCAGGACCUCAGCUCUAGAGAGACAUUUAAAGCCAGAGAUUGAUAUCAAGACUGAAGACUCCUCUGGAGCUGAGACUGAUGACAGUGAAGACUGGGCAGAGACCAGAGAUGAUCAGUCAGAUUCAAAUACUGUAACAAACGUGAAAAAUAGAAGACAAAAGACUGAUAAAACAUCAUACAGCUGCUCUGAGUGUGGAAAAACAUUUAAUGAAAAGCGUUACCUGUCAGCUCACAUGGCACGUCACACUGGUGAGAAAUGCUACAGCUGCUCUGAGUGUGGUAAAAGAUUCAGCCAGAAGCGUUACCUGUCAGCUCACGUGGCACGUCACACUGGAGAAAGCUGCUACAACUGUGCUGAGUGUGAUAAAACAUUCAAAACUAAACAGAAUCUGAACAACCACCUGGUGAUGCACAUGGCAGAGAGACCUUUCUCCUGCUCAGUGUGUGGUAAAAGAUUCAGUCAAAAGCGUUAUUUGGCAACUCACAUGGCACGCCAUAAGGAGGAGAAAUGCCACAGCUGCACGGUCUGUCACAAAAGAUUUAUUUGGCUUUGGCAGUUAAAAAAACAUAAGUGUGUUGGAGGUCAGUCUUCAGAAAAGCAAUCACAGAGCUGCUCUGAGUGUGGGAAAAGUUUCAAACAUAGAGAGGACUGUGGAGGAACAGAACCAGACAGGAAUUCAGAUCCAGAGAGACAUUUACAACCAGAGACUCAGAUUAAAAAGGAAGACUCCUUAGAGUCUGAGAAUGAUGACAGUGACGACUGGAGGGAGAUGUCAGAGUUACAUUCAGAGAACAAUCAAAGUUUGACAAGUAAGAAAACCCACAGCUGCUCUGAAUGUGGUAAAACAUUCAAAAUAAAACAGCAUUUGACACAACACCUGAGGAUCCACACAGGAGAGAAACCCUUCAGUUGCUCUUUUUGCAGUAAAAGAUUUAAACAAAAGGCCCAUCUGAAUGAACAUGUACGAAUUCACAUAGGAGAGAAACCCUUCAGCUGCUCUGUUUGUGGUAAAAGCUUCACUUUAAAAGGACAGCUAACAACCCACAUGCUAGUUCAUGGAGGAGAGAAACCCUUUAUAUGCUCUAUAUGCAGUAAGAGAUUUACCCUAAAAGGGCAGUUAACAACACACAUGUUAGUUCAUACUGGAGAGAAACCCUUCAGCUGCUCUGUUUGCAGUAAGAGAUUUACCCUGAAAGGACAGAUGACAACACACAUGUUGGUUCACACAGGAGAGAAACCCUUCUGCUGCUCUGAGUGUGGUAAAAGAUUCAGCCAAAAGGGUAAUCUGUCAGCUCACAUGGCACGUCACAAGGGGGUGAAACGCCACCGCUGCUCUGUUUGUCGCCAAAGAUUCUUUUGGCAUUCUCAGUUAAAAAUGCACAAGUGUGGUGGAGGUGGGGCUUCAGAGCACCAUGAAGACCAAACAGAUGAGGAAUUAGAGGCAGAAACAGGAAUCGAUGAAGAGGACUGGGGAGGGGGGGAACCGACCACAUACUUAAAUCUUAAACCAGACAGUGAUGAUGAGGCCAAACGAUCUGGUGAAACUGGUGAGAAUGUUGACGUUGAUUUUUGGAAAAAUACCAGACAGCAUCAUUCUGGUUUCACUUAUCAGAGAAAGAAAACAUCCUCAGUAAAUAAUGGAUGUAAUCUUGAAAAGAAUGCAUUUCUCUAUUGUUAUGAUGGUAAUAAGUCUGACCCCAGGUAAAAUAACACUCUUCAGUCUUCAGCCAGCUCCAAACUUUAUGAAACAUAAGGAAAUGUUGGUGAUACUUUAUAUUCAGAGGUAUGCAUAUGACUGACAUGACCAUUCACAGAAGGAGGCAGAAUACGAUGAAGGUUUAUGAAUGUUUUCAUUAAAGGCCAACACCAUUUGGACAAUUAUGUCACCUUUAAUGUGAAGUUAACAUUGUUUGAUCCCUUUUUGCCUCUUUGUACAGUAAGGCAAGGCUAUAGCCAGAUGUCUUAGUCUAGCACAGUGGUUUUCAAAGUGUAGGAGAGUGAGCCUUCCCUAAGAGAAAAUUAUUCCUUCGGUGGACCCCGACCCACAUAAAGAUUCAGAUUGAAAAAAAAUUAAACAACCAUAUUUUCAAACAUUUAUGUCUAAUCUUUGAAUAUUUUUAUCAUUAAUAUAUUUUUGAUAUUUUGGUCUGCAAAUGUUCUAAACAUCUGUCUUUCCUAGGCAAUUCGUUAUUUGGUUUCAGUAAUGAUUUUAUUUCCAAUACUACCUGAUUAUUAUGCUCUACGCUCUUAUUCAGUGGGAGUUUCAAGUUUUCAUCUGUACGGUUGAUGCAGGUUUGCAUAACUGCGGACCAUCCUCCACCUUCUGCCUUUCCUGGUACUCACUUUUGAUCAGUGUAAAUACCUUUCACUUCCUGUUAAAAAUUCCCCUAGUUUGGUCACUAGAAUUGUUGGUCAGUCUGAAGAUGACCCCAAAAUUUACACAGCCUUAUCCUGUCAUUAGCUUGUAUAUCUUUGCAAAUUUAACACUGUGACUUGAGCAUCGUCAGGAUCCUUGCAGGAAAAUUCUAACUUGAGUAGUUGACUCUAGUCGCUAUAGUAACAAUAAAGUCUUAUCAAUUUAGCUCCAUGCACAGCUGAACUUAGCAAAGCAAAUCACCUUUUUUCUGGUUUAUGGUUCCGCGCCUCCCCUGAAGUUCUUUGGCGCCCCCCAGUGGAGGGCCGCCUCACACUUUGAAAACCUCUGGUCUAGCAUAAAGACUGGACAGAUUCGUGGUGGGUGCGGUAAGAUCCAGUUUUAACUUACAUGACUCUCCAGGAAAGGAAAAAAGCUGCAGUGCAACCAGACAGAGUGCAAGCUACAUUGAAAACUCCCACUCUUGUUUUGGGAUGUGCAGUGGUGGUGUAGUGGGGUGUGCUCUUAAGUUAUUGUAUUAAAAGUGAUAAUUAAGCAAAUGACACUGAAUGACAUUCAUAAAUGGUGAUAAAGCCUUCCUCACGUGAAUGGCAGGUGUCAUGUCGUGAUUUUGACAGUGUCAUGCCAGGUUGAUGCAUACCCCUUCAAAAUUCAGUUAUUCAAAUGUCUAAUCAGUGAUACUCAGAGUGUGGCUCUUUUAUGUCUUCAUUUGAAAUAUUAUUCCCCCAGAAAACCUUCAUAAAGGGAAAAUUAUCCAUUGCAAGUCACAUAAAUUGAUUUGUUUCCCACUCCUACACAGUUGGCUUUAAUUAUCAACCUUUAUUUUUGUCUGUGUGUUUCCAUUGCCCUUAUUUGCAUUUUUAGCCACUUUUAAUCAAUUUUUACUGCUUUAAGCCCACUUUUGUCACUUCUUUUUGCCACUAUUAUCCAGGUUUUAUCCCUUUUCCCCCAGUUUCUGACCAUUUUAUCCUGUUAUUUUGUUAUUUUUUGCCACUUUCACCCAUCUAAGCUGCCUUUUGCCACUUUUUCCCCCAUUUUUUGCCACUCUUUGCCCAUUCUCCCACCUUUGGCUCCCUGUUGCCCAUGUUAGUCACUUUUUAUUCAUUUUUUGUCAUGCUUUUGCUACUUUUUGACCAUUUUUGCCGCCUGUAACUCAUUUUUGUGUCACUUCUCACUCAAAUUUUGCCACUUUUCUGC